UACGGAGGGAGCUAGCGUUGUUCGGAAUUACUGGGCGUAAAGCGCACGUAGGCGGCCUGUUGCGUCCGCUGUGAAAGCCCGGGGCUUAACCCCGGGUCUGCAGUGGAUACGGGCAGGCUAGAGGUAGGUAGGGGAGAAUGGAAUUCCCGGUGUAGCGGUGAAAUGCGCAGAUAUCGGGAGGAACACCGGUGGCGAAGGCGGUUCUCUGGGCCUUACCUGACGCUGAGGAGCGAAAGCGUGGGGAGCGAACAGG
rnacentral:rRNA from 1 species